GUCGACGGUGAAGCCAAGCUUGCUUGGUGGAUCAGUGGCGAACGGGUGAGUAACACGUGAGCAACCUGCCCUGGACUCUGGGAUAAGCGCUGGAAACGGCGUCUAAUACUGGAUAUGAGCUCUCAUCGCAUGGUGGGGGUUGGAAAGAUUUUUCGGUUUGGGAUGGGCUCGCGGCCUAUCAGCUUGUUGGUGAGGUAAUGGCUCACCAAGGCGUCGACGGGUAGCCGGCCUGAGAGGGUGACCGGCCACACUGGGACUGAGACACGGCCCAGACUCCUACGGGAGGCAGCAGUGGGGAAUAUUGCACAAUGGGCGCAAGCCUGAUGCAGCAACGCCGCGUGAGGGAUGACGGCCUUCGGGUUGUAAACCUCUUUUGGUAGGGAAGAAGCCUUCGGGUGACGGUACCUGCAGAAAAAGCGCCGGCUAACUACGUGCCAGCAGCCGCGGUAAUACGUAGGGCGCAAGCGUUAUCCGGAAUUAUUGGGCGUAAAGAGCUCGUAGGCGGUCUGUCGCGUCUGCUGUGAAAUUCCGAGGCUCAACCUCGGGCUUGCAGUGGGUACGGGCAGACUAGAGUGCGGUAGGGGAGAUUGGAAUUCCUGGUGUAGCGGUGGAAUGCGCAGAUAUCAGGAGGAACACCGAUGGCGAAGGCAGAUCUCUGGGCCGUUACUGACGCUGAGGAGCGAAAGGGUGGGGAGCAAACAGGCUUAGAUACCCUGGUAGUCCACCCCGUAAACGUUGGGAACUAGUUGUGGGGUCCUUUCCACGGAUUCCGUGACGUAGCUAACGCAUUAAGUUCCCCGCCUGGGGAGUACGGCCGCAAGGCUAAAACUCAAAGGAAUUGACGGGGACCCGCACAAGCGGCGGAGCAUGCGGAUUAAUUCGAUGC
rnacentral:rRNA from 1 species